UGCAGUCGUGUCAAAUUCAGCACUGCCUUAUCCCUGACAGCUGCUGGCCCAAGUGGCUGCGACAGUAACAUGUUGGCUCAUGGGCCUCGCUUUCCCUUCUGGUGGAACUUGAGGAUAAUAUUGUGCUAUGGACAGAU